rnacentral:rRNA from 1 species
UGGGGAAUAUUGGACAAUGGGCGCAAGCCUGAUCCAGCCAUGCCGCGUGAGUGAUGAAGGCCCUAGGGUUGUAAAGCUCUUUCAGCGAGGAGGAUAAUGACGUUACUCGCAGAAGAAGCCCCGGCUAACUUCGUGCCAGCAGCCGCGGUAAUACGAAGGGGGCUAGCGUUGUUCGGAAUCACUGGGCGUAAAGCGCACGUAGGCGGACUUUUAAGUCAGGGGUGAAAUCCCGGGGCUCAACCUCGGAACUGCCUUUGAUACUGGGAAGUCUGGAGUCCGAGAGAGGUGAGUGGAACUCCGAGUGUAGAGGUGAAAUUCGUAGAUAUUCGGAAGAACACCAGUGGCGAAGGCGGCUCACUGGCUCGGUACUGACGCUGAGGUGCGAAAAGCGUGGGGAGCAAACAGGAUUAGAUACCCUGGUAGUCACGCCGUAAACGAUGGAAGCUAGCCGUCAGGGUCAUGCAUCUUGGUGGCGCAGUUAACGCAUUAAGCUUCCCGCCUGGGGAGU